UCUCCGUAGGUGAACCAGCGGAAGGAUCAUUAUUGUAAAACCGAGGUGCGAGGGAUCUCGCUGAUACGACACGUCUUCUACGCCCGAGUGCCCUCACACACAUCCAUCUCACCCCUAUGUGCGCCGCACCGUGGGUCCCCCUGAGGCUUGUUCGGAGGGGGGCUGACGUUUUCACACAAGCUCAGUAUGCAGUGUAGUAUGUGGUUUUUGUUUUUGCGAUCACGCAAUCGAUACAACUUUCAACAACGGAUCUCUUGGCUCUC
rnacentral:misc_RNA from 1 species